AUUGAACGCUGGCGGCAGGCCUAACACAUGCAAGUCGAGCGGAUGAAGGGAGCUUGCUCCUGGAUUCAGCGGCGGACGGGUGAGUAAUGCCUAGGAAUCUGCCUGGUAGUGGGGGAUAACGUCCGGAAACGGGCGCUAAUACCGCAUACGUCCUGAGGGAGAAAGUGGGGGAUCUUCGGACCUCACGCUAUCAGAUGAGCCUAGGUCGGAUUAGCUAGUUGGUGGGGUAAAGGCCUACCAAGGCGACGAUCCGUAACUGGUCUGAGAGGAUGAUCAGUCACACUGGAACUGAGACACGGUCCAGACUCCUACGUGACGCAGCAGUGGGGAAUAUUGGACAAUGGGCGAAAGCCUGAUCCAGCCAUGCCGCGUGUGUGAAGAAGGUCUUCGGAUUGUAAAGCACUUUAAGUUGGGAGGAAGGGCAGUAAGUUAAUACCUUGCUGUAUUGACGUUACCAACAGAAUAAGCACCGGCUAACUUCGUG
rnacentral:rRNA from 1 species